rnacentral:rRNA from 1 species
ACGAACGCUGGCGGCGUGCUUUAACACAUGCAAGUCGAACGGUGACGGAGAGCUUGCUCUCCUGAUCAGUGGCGAACGGGUGAGUAACACGUGGGCAACCUGCCCCAGACUUCGGGAUAACGCUUCGAAAGAGGUGCUAAUACCGAAUACGAACCUCCCUGGCAUCUGGGAGGUUGGAAAGUUUUUCGGUCUGGGAUGGGCCCGCGGCCUAUCAGCUUGUUGGUGAGGUAACGGCUCACCAAGGCGACGACGGGUAGCCGGCCUGAGAGGGCGACCGGCCACACUGGGACUGAGACACGGCCCAGACUCCUACGGGAGGCAGCAGUGGGGAAUAUUGCGCAAUGGGCGAAAGCCUGACGCAGCAACGCCGCGUGAGGGAUGACGGCCUUCGGGUUGUAAACCUCUUUCAGCAGGGAAGAAGCGAAAGUGACGGUACCUGCAGAAGAAGCACCGGCUAACUACGUG